GCCUUCGUAGUGCAGUGGUCAGCACACUGGGCGCUUAUUCCAGAGGUCCGUGGUUCGACUCCCGGCGGGGGCG